rnacentral:lncRNA from 1 species
GGCCGGUUAACUCUUGCAAGUCUGAUACACACACCAUUUUAUGCUCUUUAGCUGAUGGUCCUUUCCUCUUUAUACUACCAAAGAGUUCUCUCUGAUAUUGAAGAAAGUUUAAAACAUCUCCCUGGUCCAGGUGAUAUUUGAUUGCAAGGAACCAAAACUCAGUCCAAUUCGCACACACACAUGUUUAUUGUAUUAAAAGAUAUAGACCUCAUAAGUAGCAAGAAACAAAUAAGCCUAAGGAGGGAAUGAACCAAGACUCUCCAGGCACCUCAGUCAGCAGUUGCUCCUGGAUUUUCUGUCCAAUGCUUAGUUAAAAAAAAAAAAAAUCAUCGUAUCAGCUGCUUCAUAGCCAAUGAAUUGGAACCCUAGCUCAUGUGUCUACCCUGAUCAGUAGCCAAGGUUAUGCAGGACCUAGAGCUACCCCCUUGGGGAAAUGAGUGGAAUAGGUUGAGUUUAGGUCAGAGCAAUGUUCAUAAAGACAAGUAUCCAUUAUUCUUGUUCAAGGCCCCAAUCUCAGCCCUACCACUGUACAAAUAAUUCAUCAGCAUGACUGUGGAGAUUGCUUGAAAACAUAUAUGUGAAUUGGGACCAAUUUAUCUCUGCUACUGAAGGAGAAAAAUUUUUGCAAUAAUUCAUAGUCCUGGAUGUACUGAUAGGAAUCAGUAGUAUCAUGUUAACCUGCAAGGAUCAUGACUUGUGAAGAAAAACCCAAGCCCAGUUUCCUUUUUUUCCUACAAAUUGGAGACAUGAAUUGGCCAGACUCAAGGAAUGAAUUGGGAGUUCCCAUGUUGGUGCAAUGGAAACGGAAUCCAACUAGAAACCAUGAGGUUGCUGGUUCGAUCCCUGGCCUUGCUCAGUGGGCUAAGGAUCCAGCGUUGCCAUGAGCUAUUGUGUAGGUUGCAGACAUGGCUCAGAUCUGGUGUUGCUGUGACUGUGGCAAAGGCCAGCAGCUGUAGCUCAGUUUAGACCCUUAGUCUGGGAACCUCCAUAUGCCAGGCAUGUGGCCCUAAAGAGCAAAAAAAAAAAAAAAAUAUCAUAGCAUCAUAGACUGAUUUAGUUACAGGUUUAUGCUAUCUCACAAGGUGUAGAGUUGAAAAGAUGAAUCAAAGACGAUAAUGGUGGUGAAUAGCUCACAUUGUUAGUAUGGGAUUUGGAGUCAGAUUUGGUUCAGGACAGGAUUCCACCACUCACUGCCUGUGAGACUUUGAUCAAAUUACUUAAUCUCUUUGACCCUCAGUUCCCUCAGCGUUAAAAUGAGAGUGAUAACGCUACUGAUCUCAUAGGAGGAUGUUGAGAGCAGUGAGAAAAAGGAUGCAAAGAGCUUAACAUGCUGCCUGGCAUGUAUGUGCUGCCUUUAUCAAAUAAUUUAAAUAGACCUUUCAUAUAUGGCAAUGCUUGUUUUAUGACAUCUCUUUCUACACUCUCUAAAUACUGCUUUGCAUGUGCAUGCAUAACUUUUCAUUUUAAAAAUAAGCAAACAAAAAAGAACAUUCAGCAAAUAAUUGAGAAGGAGAUAAUUCUAGUCUGGGCAUGCCAAUCAAAAUAUUAACAAAGGAAGAAUGGAAGCUGAUCAGAUGUUAGGAAGGUGUGACUUUGAGCUUGCAAGUAAACCUGAGAUUUUCAUCAAUAAAUGUGGUUUCCUCCUCUGUCUCCUUGUUUUGUUGAGCUGAAAUACAGAAUUAGGAGGCACAUAUUCUAGGCCAGCUCUGUGAAGCAAACCACCAGCCACUUGCAGGACUUAAAUUUAUAGCACCCAUAAAAUGUAUAGUUAUGUACGAGAAUACAGAAUAAACAGUCUAGAAGAUAAGAAAUUUAAUAAAAAUUGCAGAUACACACAGCCAGCUGCUAAAGGUUGGAAUGGCAAUAUUUUUAGCAGUGGAUAUGUGCUGCCAUUGAAUGCUUAAAUCAGUGCAGGUGGGACAUUAAAAGCUUCUGCGAGGUCAGGUUGCUCCAGGUACUUUGCAAGGUUAUAUCAUCCAUGAAUGAAUGAUUUUGCACAGGAGAGUCAGAGGCCAGAGUAUCCUCUUAGUCCCCAAGGAUUCUCAUCUGUUGUGACUAGCAAAAUCCCAAAGUAAGAGGACAGGUCAGAGAUCUGAGAUCCAGGGCCUUGCUGGAACGCGUCGAUUCUUAGAAGUAAGCGUCUUGGUAUGAUAAAUACGAACUCCUCAAGCCCGUUAGGGAAUGGAAAUUUAAGAACCGGUUAGGUCAAAGAUCAGGAAAUUUAUGACGAUUAUCUGCGGUUACAGUGUAGAGUGUUUGAGGAUGGUUUAAGCCAAAGAGUCCAGUGCCUGUAAAUCUUGAGAGUGAUAUUAAUACCUCUGUGAGCAUGUGUGUACAACGUUUCUGAAAAGAUUAAUUGCAAAGGCCAGUUCCCAGGAAAGACAAGCAGGUAAUUGGCAUUUAAUUAAUGAGAAUAAGUUAUAUUAAAUUAAAGACUUAUAAUCCUUGAUUAUUUAUCUUCUUGUAGCCAGUGUGACAAUCUACUCUUAGAUUAUUAACUUGGUACUGUUUUUCAAGAGGCCAAACUAAACCUUCUGUUCAGACUGUAUAAAUAAGAAUACGUUUGCAUCUCAACCAUGGGAAUGAAGUGAAUUUGGGGAAACCACAGAGGGAUUUUUUUAAGCAUAAAUGAUUUAAAAAUUAAACCCAGCAGAGCAUGCAAGUUAUUCUCAGGAAUAUUCCACACCUCCAAAAUCCACAAGAGUUGUAUUAUUGUAUAGCAGAAAGGGUAUAAGCUUGAGGGUCAGUCUGACCUGGGGUUGAGUCCUGGCUCUGCUUCAUAUUAACCCUAUAACCUCAGGUAUGUUAUUAAAAUUCUCUGAGGUUCCGUUCUCUUACCUUCAUAAAUGGGAAAAUAAUACGCACCUGGCAUACAGAGUUUUAAAAAUUAAAUACUUUAAAUUCCCUUGGUCCACUACCUAUCACAUAGACAAUGUUCAAUAAAAGGUUUUUCUCUUAAUUUGUUCUCUUGUAGCAAGGGAUGUCAGAGGUUAGAAAAUUAUUAUAGAAUAAAAUUGAAAGAUUCAUUCUAUUUUGAUAAGUAUUAUUAAAGAUACAUUAACACAGGGUGGUUUGGGGAAUGGAUAGAUACAUACUUCAAUGGAAUAGACUAGAAAGUCCAAAAUGGACCCACACAAGUAUGACCAAUUCAUUUUUUUUUAAAUGAAAAGGCAGUUCACUGAAGAGAGUCAGGUCUUUUCAACAAAUGGCAUUAGGACAAUUGGGCUUCAUAUGCAAAAACAAAUAAACUUAGACCUAAACCUCAUACCUUAUACAAAUUCAAAAUAGAUAAUUGGUCUAAUUUUAAAACAUGAAUCUGAAAGAGUUUCAGAAGAAAACACGAGAGAAAAUAUUCAUAAUCUGGAAUCAGACGAGUUCUUAAAUAUGACAUGAAGAUCAUAAUCUGUACAAGCAAAAAUUGCGAAGUUGGACUUUUUUGAAAUUAAAAACUUUUGCUCUGUUAAUGACACAUUUGAAAAAUGAAAAGGCAGAGUUCCCUUCAUGUCUCAGUGUUAACGAACCCAACCAGGAUCCAUGAGGAUUCAGGUUAGAUCCCUGGCCUUUCUCAGUGAGUUAAGGACCUGGUGUUGCUGUGAGCUGUGGUGAAGUUUGCAGACGUGGCUCAGAUCC